CGGGCUGGAGCAGCACGGUAGCUCGUCGGCCUCAUAUCCCGAAGGUCGUUGGUUCAAAUCCUGCUCCCGCAACA
rnacentral:tRNA from 1 species